rnacentral:misc_RNA from 1 species
AAGGAUCAUUAUUGAAUAAACCUGAUGGGUUGUUGCUGGCUUCUUAGAAGUAUGUGCACGCCUGUCAUCUUUAUCCAUCCACCUGUGCACCCUUUGUAGUCUUGGAGGUAACGAGCGCGAAGCUUCUCGGGGUAUAUCACUCCUUGAUGCCAGUAGUGCAAGUUUCUCUGGGUCUAUGUCUUUCAUAUACCACGUAGAAUGUAACAGAAAGUCUUUAUUGGGCCUCAGUGCCUAUAAAACACAAUACAACUUUCAGCAACGGAUCUCUUGGCUCUC